GAAAUAUAGUGUCAAAAAGGGGGCAAGGCAGCUGCAGAUUUGGCUGCCACUUGGAAAUCAUUCUAUAAGACUUUAAAAGAAUGGAAAACUUGUAAUUAAAAGAAAAGGGGGAAUUGUGGUUAGAUAAAAGGUAGGAGAAUAGAGACAGUGGUGAAGGUAAUCUGGCUCCUAAGGAGGUACAGCUGUGCUAAUUAUCAAGCAUUAAGAACAAGCCUGCUCUUAAUAGGCCACAGCUGUAUUCAAUUAAGAGGGAUAUUAUAAAAGAGCAGGUUGGCUGGUCGAGAGGAGAGAUGGAGUUUGUUGGCUGUGCUGAGAAGAAGGAGGCAGUGCUGCAGAGGAGCUGCUCAUGAGAAACCACUGAGAAGGUUGGGAAAAAGGCAACAUUACAGUAGCUAAGCCAUGCCUAUCUAGUGAUGCUGCGAUUCUGUGAUACCUCACAGCUGCAGAAGUGAAACAUCUGGAAUUCAUGAACAUUUCUGCAACUGCUCCAGUCACUCCAUGGGAGAUUCAGAAAUGACUGGCAAGAGAUUCCAGGGAUUUCUACUCCUUUUUUACCCCCAUACGGAAAGGAUUUUCCAAUAGAAAAUGUGUAGACAUUUUUCUCAAGGCAGGAAGAGCGGAGAAACCUGAGCAGCCUGGUGAAAGUCUGGUCCUUGAGUUACCCUGAGAAUCUCCCAUACAAAGAGUGUUCUCUCAAAAGUCAAGGGGAGAUUUGAUAUUAAAUUAUGCAUAUCAAAGUCAGAACUUCUUCCUUAGCUUUUUCAAGUAUUUAAAAUUAUGUACAACUUAUUUCCAAUUACUUCUUACCUAUUAUUAUUUAAAAAAACACUUCACUUGAAAUUUUUCUAGAACCAUAAAAUGUAUCUGAUGAGCUUAUCUCUUCCAAUUCCUUUCAGUCAUGAUAGACUAGAAAAAUUUCACUAGGUUUAUUUAGUGAUUAGAUUGUAGUUUGCUCAUAUGUAAGAUUUUUAGCAUUUAACAAUGGUGAAAUGUAUGGGGAAAAUAAUGCAACUGCCCUAAAUCAUAAUGUAUGCUCUUAAUUUCCUUUAUAAAAUUACUCAUCUUCUUCAAUACACCAUUUCAGUCAAUUCUUCAUAAUAUGUGAUUUAGAACUCCAAGGAAAAAAAAAUUAGACACAUAAUUCCAGAUGAACUAUAUUGUUUUAAUUUACAAAUAAAAAUCUUUCUAAAUUACAAAAAUGUUCAUCUACUGACAUUUUAUACAGAAACCCUGGAUAAUCAUACUAUCUGUGGGAGCAUGUGAAGUCCUUUUCAGUACUUUAUGAAAUUUCUUUUGAGUAUUAAGAUUUAAACAAAAGCACAUUUUUAUAAUAGAGUUUUUGAUUAUUUGGCAUUAGAUAAAACUACAGAGAUUUAGCUAUAUUUUGGCAUUUCAUUUGGUAUUAACAAAACCUAAAA